GGGGUUGUGCUCAGUGGUAGAGCGCUUGUCUCGCACGCAGGGACCCUGGGUUCGAUCCUCAGCACCA
rnacentral:tRNA from 1 species